rnacentral:rRNA from 1 species
AUCGCCUCUUGACCCUUUAUAAGAGGUCCAGCCUGCCCAGUGACUAAGUUCAACGGCCGCGGUAUCCUAACCGUGCGAAGGUAGCGUAAUCACUUGUUCUUUAAAUAAGGACUAGUAUGAAUGGCACCACGAGGGUUAUACUGUCUCCUUUUUCUAAUCAAUGAAACUGAUCUCCCCGUGAAGAAGCGGGGAUAAAUAUAUAAGACGAGAAGACCCUAUGGAGCUUCAAAUGACAUAGCACUGGCCCUUUCACUUCACAUUUCAAAAACACUAUAUUUAAACAAGCCAAAAUGACUAUUUAUUUUAGGUUGGGGUGACCACGGAGCAAAAACUAACCUCCAUGCUGAACGGAGCUACUCCUUAGCUAAAAGCUACAGCUUUAAGCAACAACAAACUGACACCAAUUGACCCAAUACUUUGAUCAACGAACCAAGUUACCCUAGGGAUAACAGCGCAAUCCAUUUCAAGAGCUCCUAUCGACAAGUGGGUUUACGACCUCGAUGUUGGAUCAGGGUAUCCCAGUGGUGCAGCCGCUACUAAAGGUUCGUUUGUUCAACGA